rnacentral:rRNA from 1 species
GACGAACGCUGGCGGCGUGCCUAAUACAUGCAAGUAGAACGCACAGUUUAUACCGUAGCUUGCUACACCAUAGACUGUGAGUUGCGAACGGGUGAGUAACGCGUAGGUAACCUGCCUGGUAGCGGGGGAUAACUAUUGGAAACGAUAGCUAAUACCGCAUAAUAUUGAUUAUUGCAUGAUAAUUAAUUGAAAGGUGCAAUUGCACCACUACCAGAUGGACCUGCGUUGUAUUAGCUAGUAGGGGAGGUAACGGCUCACCUAGGCGAAGAUACAUAGCCGACCUGGGAGGGUGAUCGGCCACACUGGGGCUGGGACACGGCCCAGGCUCCUACGGGAGGCAGCAGUAGGGAAACUUCGGCAAUGGACGAAAGUCUGACCGAGCAACGCCGCGGGAGUGAAGAAGGGUUUCGGAUCGGAAAGCUCUGUUGUAAGAGAAGAACGGGUGUGAGAGUGGAAAGUUCACACUGUGACGGUAUCUUACCAGAAAGGGACGGCUAACUACGUG